ensembl:lncRNA
GGUAUUAUCAUCUCUGCUUUCUAGAUGAAGAGGGUUACCUCAUCUCCAAAUUUUGCAGCUGGUUAAUUUAGUUUACAAAGUAACAUUUAGAGUUUGUCAUUUCUCCCCGUGUGGCCCCAAUUGCUCCUAAUAUAGUGUUGAUUUUUCUGUGUGAAGUAAUCCAGAGGAGGUUCUGGGUUCAAAGCAGAUUUUCGAAGGUGUUUUAAACUCCUCAUUGCCCCAGUGCUAGAAUAUCAAGGUUCAAGGAAUAAUGCAUUUACUUUGGAAGCUUGCCAUUUACAAGUAUUUACUUAGCAAGCCCUCUUCUUCACCAGCCCUACUGGUACCUGAGGCGGCCUCAUGGUUGUUGGUUUGGGGGAACUUUCUCCUCCCUUUUUUCUUGAAGCCCUGCUAGCUCCAGGUUCAUCUGCUUCAUCAGAACUGGCUCGAAUGCAUUCCUUUUUAUGACGGAGUAGUGUUCCAUUGAUGCCAGGAGUCUCCCGACCCCCACCCUCGCCCAUAUUUUGACAACCAAAUGUCUCCAGACAUCACCAGAUGUCCCUGGAGGACAGAAUCAUCACCAGUGGAGAACCACGGCCAGAAAGAAAUAGUAUCUCCUUUUUCAUAAGCUGGAUGAAACUCUAAAAAGUCAGUUGUUUUGCCCAAAUACACCCGUCCCCUAAGUGACCUGUAAACCGGACAGUUACAGGACACUGCCAUGAAUGCUUUCAGUAAAACACUAACUG